AACGCACAUUGCGCCCGCGAGUAUUCUCGCGGGCAUGCCUGUUCGAGCGUCAUUUCAACCAUCAAGCCCCCGGCUUGUGUUGGGGACCUGCGGCUGCCCGCAGGCCCUGAAAUCCAGUGGCGGGCUCGCUGUCGCACCGAGCGUAGUAGCAUACUUCUCGCUCCGGGAGCGCGGCGGGCGCCUGCCGUAAAACCCCCUACAUACCAAAGGUUGACCUCGGAUCAGGUAGGAAUACCCGCUGAACUUAA
rnacentral:misc_RNA from 2 species